AAUGAACGCUAGCGGCAGGCUUAAUACAUGCAAGUCGAGGGACAGCACAGGUAGCAAUACUGGGUGGUAACCGGCAAACGUGUGCGGAACACGUACACAACCUUCCUUUAAGUGGGGGACAGCCCAGAGAAAUUUGGAUUAAUACCCAGUAAUAUCGUUGAAUGGCAUCAUGUGAUUAUUAUAUCUACGGCGCUUAAUGAUGGGUGUGCGGCUGAUUAGUUAGUUGGCGGGGUAACAGCCCACCAAGUCUACGAUCAGUAGCUGAUGGGAGAGCAUGACAAGCCACACGGGAACUGAGACACGGGCCCGAAUCCUACGGGAGGCAGCAGUAAGGAAUAUUGGUCAAUGGACGCAAGUCUGAACCAGCCAUGCCGCGUGAAGGAUUAAGGUCCUCUGGAUUGUAAACUUCUUUUAUUUGGGACGAAAAAGGGCCUUCCUAGGUCAACUGACGGUACCAGAUGAAUAAGCACCGGCUAACUCCGUGCCAGCCGCCGCCGUAAGAC
rnacentral:rRNA from 1 species